GUGACCUGCGGAGGAUCACUAGUGAAUUAAACAUGCUUGGUGUCUUCGCUUCGGCAAGGCCCUUGCUUAACUCACAUCCCAACACCUGUGAACUGUAAGGCGCAUGACUAGGUUCGCCCAAGUCAUCGUCUGCCCUUUUUAACAAACAAUUAAUGUAACAAACGUAGUCUUAUUAUAACCUAAUAAAACUUUCAACAACGGAUCUCUUGGCUCUCGCAUCGAUGAAGAACGCAGCGAAAUGCGAUAAGUAAUGUGAAUUGCAGAAUUCAGUGAAUCAUCGAAUCUUUGAACGCACCUUGCGCUCUUUGGUAUUCCGAAGAGCAUGCCUGUUUGAGUGUCAUGAAAAUAUCAACCUUGACUUGGGUUUUGUGCUCUAGUCUCGGCUUGGAAUUGGGUGCUUGCCGCUUUUACGAGCGGCUCACCUUAAAUGUAUUAGCUGGAUCUGUCUUUGAGACUUGGUUUGACUUGGCGUAAUAAGUAUUUCGCUAAGGACAUUCUUCGGAGUGGCCUCGUUUCUAGGACGCUUGUCCGCUUUCCAAUACAAGUUCCACCUCGUGGACAUGACUUUUUAUUAUCUGGCCUCAAAUCAGGUAGGACUACCCGCUGAACUUAA
rnacentral:misc_RNA from 1 species